rnacentral:rRNA from 1 species
AACGAACGCUGGCGGCAGGCCUAACACAUGCAAGUCGAGCGCACCUUCGGGUGAGCGGCGGACGGGUUAGUAACGCGUGGGAAUAUACCCUUUGGUACGGAAUAGCCUCUGGAAACGGAGAGUAAUACCGUAUGUGCCCUUCGGGGGAAAGAUUUAUCGCCAAAGGAUUAGCCCGCGUUGGAUUAGGUAGUUGGUGGGGUAAUGGCCUACCAAGCCUACGAUCCAUAGCUGGUUUGAGAGGAUGAUCAGCAACACUGGGACUGAGACACGGCCCAGACUCCUACGGGAGGCAGCAGUGGGGAAUCUUAGACAAUGGGGGAAACCCUGAUCUAGCCAUGCCGCGUGAGUGACGAAGGCCUUAGGGUCGUAAAGCUCUUUCGCCAGGGAAGAUAAUGACGGUACCCAGU